rfam:Trichobilharzia regenti genome assembly, scaffold: TRE_scaffold0003744
GUCCAGAUAACGAGUCCCAAGUAGGACGGAAUGCGCAUCCUGGAU